CUACAUCAUUUAUGUGGGUCCGAUUUGGAAAGAUCGGCAGGGAUACAUGUUUUCAUCAAGUAUAUAUUUCUCCUUUGAGUUACUCAUUUGGUUGUCUUACUUUGACCUUUGAUAACGUGUAAGGCCGACAGUGCUGUUUUAUUGAAGGGGAGAACAAGAAAACCAUAAUGGAAAAAAGCGUUGCAGUAGUUAAAAAGAUCGGUCUAAUGUAGACUUUCACGAUCAAAUCUUUGUGGGCGAUACGAGUAUAUCGUACUUAACGUAAAUUCAAAAGAAAUCAUUUCAAGAUAUGCGACAGGUUUAGAGUAACAUAGAAAACUAUUAUUUCCUUGUUGAUUUUAGCCUACGUGUAACCCUCCUUCCGUAUAGUACUAUGUUCAAUGUAAGUCCGAUUUGGAAGGGAUCGGCAAGGAUUAAGAUGGCAUUUUGUCAUCGUAAUGUCACGUGAAUUUCUUUUAAUGGUUGUUUAUAGUGUGCGAGUUAUAUGCAGUUUCCAAAGCAACCUGCCAUUAUCAGCGUCGGCACAUUAUGACAAAGUAAUCGUGUCUGUUUUAAAAAGGAAAUAAUGGAAACAUGGGUAGAAUCGUUUGGUUUCCAUUGGGUCCUACCCAUGACCUGGUUAUAGGUAGGCUUAGACAUAAUUAUUGGCUACAUUUGCAAUGUUUCACUUCAGUAACAAAUGGGCUAGGCCCAGUGUUUUCGUACCCCUGUCCACUUAGGAAAGAGUUGCAGCUUUCAUCAAAGAAACUGAUGAUCUAAAAGUUGAGACAGACUGGAUGAGCUAGGCUGCUUUGUCUGGACGAAAAUGAACCCUCCUUUCAGAUUUUUUUUCGUCAUUUGAAUCCUUGUUGAGAAAUGAGGACCACUGACUGAUGAGGGAAUUGUGUUACUGAGAUGAGGAUGAGCCUGCCUCAAGCCAUCGCAAGCUGGGAGGACCGACGAUGGACUGACACCGCCUGCUGGCCUGGACAUUACUGAUUCUUGAGGACCACCAACCUUGGACGAGACUGGACAAUGACGAAGCUGCUCUACUGGACAAGGAUGCCCUCAUCGGAAACUUGAGUUAAAAAAAACUAGCUUGCACAACAUGAAAUGAUAAAUCAGACUGCAUAAUGCAACGUCAUUAAAAUAAAAUGAAAAGUAAUUUUGAUUUCAUUAAAUUAUCUAUGCCUCUAAAAUAAUCUUAAACCGGAUACUGCAACAGACAGUUAACAAUGGACAAUAAUGGAAACUUGCUGAAAAAUUAUUGUAAGGGUAAUAAUGUGUCACUGGCUUUUUAGCAGUGACAUGUCUGGGAGAAGGGAUGUUCCUUUGAUCUGUCCUGGGUCAUCCAAAACUAUUGCAUGAAUAAGU